ACCGCGGGCCCCGUUUGGCCAGCUCUGCUCCCACUCUCCAGUGGCGGCCCCACGCGUGCUCUGCCCCCCUCCUCCUGCUUCUCGUCAUUGCCGUCCUCGACCGAGGAGGAGGCCCGGCGCUGGCGGCGCUCAAGGCACGCUGGACCAGACGAGCCGGGUGCUGGGCUCGUGGGACCCGGCCGGGUGAUCAAUGCGGCGGCUCCUUCAUCAGCCUCACCUGCGACCGCGGCGCGCGCGGCACAGCCAUCUCGCUGCAGGGCCGCAAGCUCUCGUCACCCUCCCGCCGGCAGUCGCGGAGCUCCGCCCCUCGCUAAACUUGCUAUUCUAGCACUGCAGUCCAAUCAAUUGACUGGAGCCAUUCCCUCAACCCUCGGCAACCUAAUUCAGCUGACAGGGCAGAUUUGAGCUUCAACAGCCUAUUUGGCUUGAUCCCUUUAGAGAUUGCAGAUGUUUUGUUGCUCGAGCUCUUUGAUGUUCGCAAAGCAGUGCCCCUGUGACUGUUCUCACAGGCAGAAGGGCUGUCCCACAAGUGAAAGUAGGCACAGCGGGCAGCGACCUCGAAUGCCUGAUAGACCUAAACCUCGGCAGGCAGAUCUUGGAGCUCUAUAGGGUGGGUUCUGACAGUUGGUUAACAAGGCCAAGUCGGCCAUAUUCUUCAGUGCCAAUUGCUCAAAUGAUGACAAGGUGGUGAUUCAUUAAACUAUGGAUAUUGAAGCAGAAGCACUGGCUGAGAGAUAUUUGGGUCUUCCAAUUGCCUUGGGAUGAUCGACAUGGGAUAAUUUUGAUCAUAUUGCAACGAGUAUCAAGAAACUGGUUAAUGGGUGGUCUCCUAAGCUCACGAAUAGUGUGGCUAGGGAGGUUCUGAUCAGAUCUAUUUGUCAAGCAAUCCCUACAUAUUGCAUGAGUUGCUUUGUCAAAGAAAACUUGUAAGAAGAUUAUCAGUAUUAUUGCAAGGUACUGGUGGGGAGGAGAUGAACAUAGAAGGAAGAUGCACUGGCAGAAAUGGGAAGAUAUCGCUAUCCCCAAGUGCGUGGGGGGCGCAUGGGCUUCCCGGAUUUUCAUUUGUUCAAUCAGGACAUGCUUGCCAAGCAAGGAUGGAGGCUUAUAUCUAAUCCGGAAUCCCUGUGUGCGAGAGUGCUCCGAGGGAAAUAUUAUGACGGGAAAGACUUUAUGAAUGCCACGAAACCAAAAGGAUCAUCUCACAAUUGGCGAGCCGUAUUAUUUGGCAGGGAAGCUCUAAAACUCGGUUUGAUCAAGAGGAUGGGAGAAGGGGACUCGAUCAAUGUUUGGGAGAUCCAUGGAUUCCAGACAACUUCGGGUACAAAGCUAUAGUUAAACCCACGCAUGCAAUGAUCACACAAGCAAAUGAGCUCCUCAAGGAGGAUAAUCGUAGCUGGGAUGUUUAGGCUGUCAAGAUGAACUUUGUUCAGAUUGAUGCUGAAGCUAUUUUACGCAUCCCAAUUAACACUGGAGAGGAUUUCUGGGCAUGGCAACCGGAUAAGCGUGGGCAAUUUUCUGUACGUUCAGCAUACAAACUCCUGAUUGAACACCAUGGCAGAUCAGGUGGUGCUUCUAGCUUGUCGAAUGGACUUGGCCUGUAUGGAAAAUCUUAUGAGGUUGGAGAUGCCACCAAAGGUUAGAUGCUUCUGUUGACGAGUGAUCAAGGGGUUUAUACCUUGUCGGGCUGUCCUUAGAGAUCGCCAUGUCGAACACAUACCUUUCUGCGAGGACUGUGGAGACGAUGAGACCAUGCAAACAUGCUCUGUUCGGAUGUACUUGGGCUCAGCAGUUCUGGGACCACGUCAAGGGGAGGACUGGAGUUAAACUUCCUAUGCUCCACCCUAACACUUGGGCACUACAGUAGAUAUUAUUCAGGGGAACUUAAUCAGCAGAAGGGAAGCUUGUAUCAUCUUGUGUGGCGCCUGGGUAGUCUAAUCCGAACGAAAUGCUCGGCAUCAUGCUGAACAGGUCCGAACAGUUGAUCAAUCAAUCUGUUGGACCAUUGAUAUAGCUGCAGAUUUAUCCUUGCUUGGAAAAGAACAGGCGGCUCCUACACUGCGUGUGCUAGAAUGCUGGAAACCACUGCCACAUGAGUGUCUCAAAAUCAAUACUGGGCAUGCCCAGUUCCAGGAACUACUCGGGCAAGGGAGUACUGGCAUGGUUGUGUGUGAUCAUACUGGGAAACUUAUUCGAGCUCAAGCACGGUGGUAUGAAUAUGCUAGUUCUGCCCGGAUGAUGGAGGCAAUGGCAAUAUUGGAUGCUGUGAAUCUGGCUUCAGAUAUGGGAUGGAGGGGAAUCUUGGUUGAAAGUGACGCCCUUGAAGUGGUGAACCUGUGGAAAUCUCAGGAUUUUGCAAAAGCUGAUAUAGUGAGGCCUCUUCAGGAGAUCAAGGAGCCAGGCGGGAACUUCAUUAGUUUUUCUAUUUCUUUUGUAAGAAGAGAAACCAAUAUGGCUGCUCAUCUUACUGCUAAACACGCUAGUGAGGUUCGCAGGAGGUGUCUCUGUAUCAAUAUUGUUCCACAAUUUCUCCGUGAUGUUAUUGGCCGUGAAUGUAUUACCACUGAGUAAUUAAUAAAGCUCCAAAUUAUAAAAUAAAAAAAAAAAAAACCUCAGCAGGCAGCGUCGUCUUGAGGACUGAGGCUGUCAAGCUCGCAUUGGUGCUGCUCAUUGCACGAGGGAAGAGGCAAGCCAAAGGCCAGAAAUAUAGGCUGUGGUUCAGCAACUCAGUAAGCUGAAUCUGAGAGUCUGAACCGAGUUGAUAUGGAGGUGUCCUUCCGGAACUUCAUUGCCAUGAGGUCUUUUGUGAUAGUAAGCUGGAGGAGGUUACUGAUCCAGUUACUAAUGGAACAUGUCCAUAUUAAUUAAUUAGUCACUUUACCAGUGAUCUCAUCAUUUCAUGGUUAAUGUAUCGGUUUCUUGACCUCUGUGAUGCUGAAAGCUUGUGUAUGAGAUCAGGUGAACGGUUGGUUCUCUAGGUUAGUGUCAUGAAUGUAGAAUUUGUAAGACAUUAGAUGCAGCAGUUGAGCAUUUGUAAUGUAACUUUGAAAGCUUUGUAGUGCUAAUCUCAA